rnacentral:lncRNA from 1 species
AACUUGACGUACACACGCAGUCCUAUCCCUACGGUCCUGGAAUUGGGGGUUACUAUCUUGGAAUCUAGGGGCACUCCAGGCUCUGGGCUCAGACGGCUGGCUUCUGCCUACCCGAGCCUUAACCUUUCAAGGACCAGAAGGAUUCCAGAGCUCUUGCCCUAGGUCCUGGGGCAGCGAUGACUCACUGCAGCACCCCCUCCCACUUCGCCAAGCUGCCGUCUCCGCCCACCCCCAAACAAUCUCGACAGCGCAUUUCGGGAGCCACGGCUCCGGGCGCUUUGCUGGGGGCUAAAGGGGUUUAUCCCUUUCCUUGAAUCCCAGCAGGCUAGAACUACCCCCUCCCAGUCUUCAGGCUUGCCACGCUCUCCACCCGAUCCUUCCAUUGAAAGGCAGAGAAGGAAGGAUGUGCUUGGGAACUUUAAGACCCACGAACGACAGCGCACUGAUGGAGCAGCCCAGUGUCUGGGGCAAAGUCCUCGAGGUUCAUUCAUUCAGGAAGCCUCUGACCAGCCUUUACCAUGCGCUGAGUGAGAAGCUGAGGAUAAGGAAAGAGCAAGACCCCCAAGAAACCCUGAUGUCUGGCUGAAAGCCGAAGCAUGACGCAACUUUGCUAUAUUUCUCUCCAACAAGGAUUUGUAUAUUUUCGCUUUCUCCUCAAGUAACACCUGGACCUGCUCCUUUCCCUUCAAACGCUGAGGGCUCAGUCUCCAAGUUCCUUUAUGAAACAGGGUGUACCAUCAGAGACGCAGGUAUUUAUUGAAACCUGCUUUGUGCUGGGCAAUGUGCCAGAUGUUGGGGAUAAAAUGGAGACUUCAGAAAUGAAGAUGCAAAGACAACAGGGGAAACCAUAUAUGUUUAUGGACAGUCAUGCCAAAGUAUGAUUGGAAGACAAAAAGCUUUAAUGAAAUGUGUCCAAAAGUCAUUCCCAGGACUAAGUGAAAAAGGAAAGAUAAGCUCCUGGACGUUGGAGUUGGUGAUUAGUUGACAAUAAGGCUGACAGCUUUAUAUCAUGAGGCUGAAAAUUGGAGAUUUGAAUCCUGAAUGAGGAAGAACAACUUUUUCUUCUGUAAGAACCAACAAGUCUCUUUUCUGAGAAAAAGGGAGACAUUUUGACUGUGAGUGGGAGUUUUUAGUUCCUCUAAAGGGACAUUUCAGGGGCACGUUGUUCAACAGAAAAUAUUACCUAGAUGAGAUUGUUCAUCUACUAGACCAGAACUGUUUUUAAUACUAUGUUCUGCACUGUUAAUGCUCAAUAAAUUUUUAGAAGCAAUAUUCCAA